UAAAGAGAAAAAAAAAACUAUAAAAAAAGUAAAAAACAAAAUCGAAUAAAAGAGAUCCGACAAAGACUUUCCUCUGUUUAUUGUCGGCCCCUUUAUUCUUAUUCUUGAUA
rnacentral:ribozyme from 1 species